CCUACGGGUGGCAGCAGUGAGGAAUAUUGGUCAAUGGGCUUACGCCUGAACCAGCCAAGUCGCGUGAGGGAAGAAUGCCCUAUGGGUUGUAAACCUCUUUUGUCAGGGAGCAACGCAGGCUACGUGUAGCCGGACUGAGAGUACCUGAAGAACAAGCAUCGGCUAACUCCGUGCCAGCAGCCGCGGUAAUACGGAGGAUGCGAGCGUUGUCCGGAUUUAUUGGGGUUAAAGGGUGCGUAGGCGGAAUGCCAAGUCAGCGGUAAAAUCGCGGGGCUCAACCUCGCUCCGCCGUUGAAACUGGCGUGCGGGAGUGGGCGAGAAGUAGGCGGAAUGCGUGGGGUAGCGGUGAAAUGCAUAGAUAGUAGGAAGAACUCCGAUUGCGAAGGCAGCAUACCGGAGCGCAACUGACGCUGAAGCACGAAAGCGUGGGGAGCGAACAGGAUUAGAUACCCCAGUAGUC
rnacentral:rRNA from 1 species